GGUUAAGUUAGAAAGGGCGCACGGUGGAUGCCUUGGCACUAGGAGCCGAAGAAGGACGGGACUAACACCGAUAUGCUUUGGGGAGCUGUACGUAAGCGUUGAUCCAGAGAUUUCCGAAUGGGGGAACCCACUAUCUUUAGUCGGAUAGUAUCCUUACGUGAAUACAUAGCGUGAGGAAGGCAGACCCAGGGAACUGAAACAUCUAAGUACCUGGAGGAAGAGAAAGAAAAAUCGAUUUCCUGAGUAGCGGCGAGCGAAACGGAAAGAGCCCAAACCAAGAAGCUUGCUUCUUGGGGUUGUAGGACACUCUAUACGGAGUUACAAAAGAAAGUUAUAAAUGAAGCGGUCUGGAAAGGCCCGCCAAAGACGGUAACAGCCCGGUAGUUGAAAUGGCUUUCCCUCCAGAGUGGAUCCUGAGUACGGCGGAACACGUGAAAUUCCGUCGGAAUCCGGGAGGACCAUCUCCCAAGGCUAAAUACUCCCUAGUGACCGAUAGUGAACCAGUACCGUGAGGGAAAGGUGAAAAGCACCCCGGAAGGGGAGUGAAACAGUUCCUGAAACCGUGUGCCUACAAGUAGUUAGAGCCCGUUAAUGGGUGAUAGCGUGCCUUUUGUAGAAUGAACCGGCGAGUUACGAUUUGUUGCAAGGUUAAGCGGAAAAAGCGGAGCCGUAGCGAAAGCGAGUCUGAAUAGGGCGCAUAAGUAACAGGUCGUAGACCCGAAACCAGGUGAUCUACCCAUGUCCAGGAUGAAGGUAAGGUAAUACUUACUGGAGGUCCGAACCCACGCACGUUGAAAAGUGCGGGGAUGAGGUGUGGGUAGCGGAGAAAUUCCAAUCGAACUUGGAGAUAGCUGGUUCUCUCCGAAAUAGCUUUAGGGCUAGCCUCGAGGUAAAGAGUCAUGGAGGUAGAGCACUGUUUGGACUAGGGGCCCUUCUCGGGUUACCGAAUUCAGAUAAACUCCGAAUGCCAUGUACUUAUACUCGGGAGUCAGACUGCGAGUGAUAAGAUCCGUAGUCGAAAGGGAAACAGCCCAGACCACCAGUUAAGGUCCCCAAAUAUAUGUUAAGUGGAAAAGGAUGUGGGGUUGCUUAGACAACCAGGAUGUUGGCUUAGAAGCAGCCACCAUUGAAAGAGUGCGUAAUAGCUCACUGGUCGAGUGACCCCGCGCCGAAAAUGUACCGGGGCUAAACAUAUUACCGAAACUGUGGAUGAACCUCUUUAGAGGUUCGUGGUAGGAGAGCGUUCUAAGGGCGGUGAAGUCAGACCGGAAGGACUGGUGGAGCGCUUAGAAGUGAGAAUGCCGGUAUGAGUAGCGAAAGAAGGGUGAGAAUCCCUUCCACCGAAUAUCUAAGGUUUCCUGAGGAAGGCUCGUCCGCUCAGGGUUAGUCGGGACCUAAGCCGAGGCCGAUAGGCGUAGGCGAUGGACAACAGGUAGAGAUUCCUGUACCAGUGCUAAUUGUUUAACCGAUGGGGUGACACAGAAGGAUAGGGAAUCGCACGAAUGGAAAUGUGCGUCCAAGCAGUGAGUGUGAGAAGUAGGCAA
rnacentral:rRNA from 1 species